rnacentral:rRNA from 1 species
AGCAGCCGCGGUAAUUCCAGCUCCAAUAGCGUAUAUUAAAGUUGUUGCAGUUAAAAAGCUCGUAGUUGAAUUUCGGGGUUCUACCGUUGGUCGGGCUAUUGUUUGUACUGGCGUGUAGAAUUUCUACCUUCUGGGGAACUAUCAUGUUAUUAAUUUAGCGUGGUAGGAAACCAGGACCUUUACCUUGAAAAAAUUAGAGUGUUCAAAGCAGGCUUAUGUCUGAAUACAUUAGCAUGGAAUAAUAAAAUAGGACGGUGGUCCUGUUUUGUUGGUUUCUGAAUCACCGUAAUGAUUAAUAGGGAUAGUUGGGGGCAUUAGUAUUCAAUUGUCAGAGGUGAAAUUCUUGGAUUUAG